ACACAUUGGGGCUGAUUCUGGAUUCGACGGGAUUUGCGAAACCCAAGGUGCAUGCCGAGGGGCGGUUGGCCUCGUAAAAAGCCGCAAAAAAUAGUCGCAAACGACGAAAACUACGCUUUAGCAGCUUAAUAACCUGCUUAGAGCCCUCUCUCCCUAGCCUCCGCUCUUAGGACGGGGAUCAAGAGAGGUCAAACCCAAAAGAGAUCGCGUGGAAGCCCUGCCUGGGGUUGAAGCGUUAAAACUUAAUCAGGCUAGUUUGUUAGUGGCGUGUCCGUCCGCAGCUGGCAAGCGAAUGUAAAGACUGACUAAGCAUGUAGUACCGAGGAUGUAGGAAUUUCGGACGCGGGUUCAACUCCCGCCAGCUCCACCAA
rnacentral:tmRNA from 2 species